AAGACUCUACUUUGAGGGAUCAUUUCUAUAGUGCAUUACUAGAGAAGUUCCUGAUCGUGCAGAGCACCGGAAACCACGAGGAGGAGCCAGAGCCUCCUCUCCUGAGCGCGAAGCUGGUUCUAGGUGUUGCUUCCGCAGCUGUCUUUUACCAUUAAUGUUCGUUCUUCUCUUCUUUGGAAGAGUGAGGGGAGAGGAUGCAGUCUGAGUGGU